rnacentral:rRNA from 1 species
GAUGAACGCUGGCGGCGUGCCUAAUACAUGCAAGUCGAGCGAACGGACGAGAAGCUUGCUUCUCUGAUGUUAGAGGGGGACGGGUGAGUAACACGUGGAUAACCUACCUAUAAGACUGGGAUAACUUCGGGAAACCGUAGCUAAUAACGGAUAAUAUUUUGAACAGCAUGGUUCAAAAGUGAAAGACGGUCUUGCUGUCACUUAUAGCUGGAUCCGCGCUGCAUUAGCUAGUUGGUAAGGUAACGGCUUACCAAGGCAACGAUGCAUAGCCGACCUGAGAGGGUGAUCGGCCACACUGGAACUGAGACACGGUCCAGACUCCUACGGGAGGCAGCAGUAGGGAAUCUUCCGCAAUGGGCGAAAGCCUGACGGAGCAACGACGCGUGAGUGAUGAAGGUCUUCGGAUCGUAAAACUCUGUUAUUAGGGAAGAACAUAUGUGUAAGUAACUGUGCACAUCUUGACGUUACCUAAUCAGAAAGCCACGGCUAACUACGUG